AGGAAGUGUGAAACGGCAGGCGUACCCAUAACACGGCACUGCGAUUGGGUAGAUUGACUCUUGAAAAAAAUUGAAAACAAGUUAUGGAAUGACAGGGAUAUUGCAUCGAUCUUCACUGAUAAAUCAAUAUUUAUAUACUGAAAUUAUCGAGUAGCGAUAGACUGGAAAGUUGCUUUCGAAAACGUAGCUGUCUUUGUCAACCCUCCUUCUUCUAUUUGAUACGUAGAAAUAAAAACGGGAUCUCAUGGCUAGUAUGUUUGUCCGGAGGGUCUUUCUGGUUGCCACUCACAUUAAAUCUUCGCGGUUGGCCUGUCUGAUGAAGAGCAAACGAGUGCCGGAGACUGCCGCCGGGGCAAGACCUUUCUCCAGUGAUCCUCCGGAAAGAAUCAGCCGCUAUCCAAUUCCUUACAAGAAAGACUUGCCAUACGACAUCGUGGAACUUAUGGAGGAAGUAGAGUCCAAGGGAGGUUUCUUACCAAACGUCUUCAAAGUCCUCUCUCACAGACCCGCAGAGUUUCGAGCCUUCUUCUCUUACUACAAUGAACUCAUGAGCAAGGAGACAGGUGGACUAACCAAGGCAGAUCGUGAGCUAAUUGUGGUGGCCACCAGCAUCCAUAAUAAGUGUCUUUACUGUGUGGUUUCCCACAGUGCACUUCACCGCAUCUACUCAAAGAACACUACCCUCUCAGACCAGGUGGUGGUCAACUAUGAGAAUGCAGAGCUCCAACCACGAGAACGAGCCAUGUUGGACUUUGCCAUGGCCGUGUGCCGCGCAGACACCAUCACUGAGCAGCACUUCAAGUCCUUAGAGGAAGUGGGCUUUGACACCGAGGACGCCUGGGAUAUCGCUGCCAUCGCGGCCUUCUUCGCCAUGUCUAACCGACUCGCCCACCUCACUGACAUGCGGCCAAACAAGGAGUUUUACAACAUGGGCCGCAUACCGCGGGACAAGAGCAAAGAUAAAUAGGGCAGCAAUUGAUUUACCAGACAAGUUUAAUUUAGGGUAAAAUAUUAUGAUUUACUCACUUAAAUGUAAAUCAGUCAAGGCUAUGAUCCAUACUUGUCAUACAGUCGUGAAAUUAUCACUUUUGGCUGUCAUUGUUUGGGAUGAAAAAAUAUUAAAUGUUUUGUGUAUUAUUUAUGUAGUUAUGCAGACAGUCUGUAGUUCUCUUUCUUGUUUGGUAUGAUGUGUCACAUUGAUAACAAAGGUUUGAGCAAACAUUUGAAAUGUGUAGAUAUGCAUUUUUUUUAAACAGAAAGAUUUUUUUCCAGGGAACUGUGCUGUUCAUGGGCGGCCCAGUAGUCGAGUGGUUCGCUCGUCCACUUCACAGUGCAGAGAAGGAUCAAAAAUGACUCAGUGGCUUGCAGAAACAUGUUGGGUUACAUUACAACUGAUAUUUUGAAUUCAAAGACUAGGAAAACUACAAUUCGUACUCAUGAUCAUCGAUGGAUUACUGCUGGAUCCCUCCACAGAAACACGGUGACUCUUCCACAAGCACUUGUUUCAGAUUAGAGGGUUCCGGAUUGAUAAUCCAAAUGCACAUUCACUCAGAUUACUUCAUCCCUGUGGAUUACGGGUCAUGUGCCUUCUCAUAUUUGCUCAGAGAGAACGAUUUAAGGUUUUACUAUUUUUUUCCUUGUUUGUCCAUGGGUGUGUUCUAUUUGUGUCUUGUUUUGUAUGUCCCGCCCCCCGCCUUCGUAAUGAUUUCCUGUGGCCUGAUUUGCAGUGUCUCUCAGCACACUGGGGCAGAUGGCAUUGAUAUUAGACAAGGUUGUUUUUACACUGUGAUAUUGUUAAAGAUUUGGCAUCAUUGCAGACAAUCUCGACACAGUCACAUCACAUUAGUUUGAUAUGGAAAUUGAGUGGAUGACUCAAGACAAUCUCAAAAGUUUCUUUGCCCUUGAAGACUGGCAAGAUCACUUUUUGGCAGACUCAGAUGUUUUGCUCAUUUUGCUUGGGUGUGCCAUGAAUAUGAAUACCAUUUCACUCCCUCUUGCUGCUUGUGUCUCUGAAAAUACUUGUUCCAGCUUAUAUCUGAGCCCAGCAAAUUGAUGACAGGUGGAUAUUGUAUUGCCUCUUUUGCACUUCCUGAUGUUUACUCAUUUUGAUAUGGCUCGAUAUGCUUUGUUGGUACUUUUUCACUGGAAAAAGCAGAUACUUUCAGGUACUAUCGGGUGCUAUUUAAAACAAGUGUAUUUCUGCCCUCUUGGAUGAUAUUUGUCUCCUUGUCAGUCGACCCCCCCCCCACCCCCAUUCUUAUUGUAUCUGUUUGUUGUCUCGAUUUGACUGAAGUAUUCAGUGUAUGGUUUUAGCAGUUUACCACUGUAUAUGAUUUUGAGGUAUAAAACUGAUGCAAACAGAGCUGUGCUCAGCCAAGGCAAUACUGUGCAGUGAAAAAGUCUAGCCAACCUCA